AACGCACAUUGCGCCCGCCAGCAUUCUGGCGGGCAUGCCUGUUCGAGCGUCAUUUCAACCCUCGCGCCCACUCCCGGGCAGCGGUGUUGGGGGCCGGCAACGGCGGGGCUCACCCCCCGCGCGCCGCCCCCUAAAUACAGUGGCGGUCUCGCUGCAGCCUCCCUUGCGUAGUAGCACACCUCGCACCGGAGCGCAGCGCGGCCACGCCGUAAAACCCCCGACUUUCAUGAGUUUGACCUCGGAUCAGGUAGGAAUACCCGCUGAACUUAA
rnacentral:misc_RNA from 1 species